UACGUAGGGUGCAAGCGUUGUCCGGAAUUAUUGGGCGUAAAGAGCGUGUAGGCGGCCCGAUUAGUCCGCUGUGAAAGUCCAGGGCUCAACCCUGGAAUGCCGGUGGAUACUGUCGGGCUAGAGUCCGGAAGGGGCGAGUGGAAUUCCUGGUGUAGCGGUGAAAUGCGCAGAUAUCAGGAGGAACACCAAUGGCGAAGGCAGCUCACUGGGACGGUAUUGACGCUGAGACGCGAAAGCGUGGGGAGCAAACAGG
rnacentral:rRNA from 1 species